rnacentral:rRNA from 1 species
UACGUAGGGUGCAAGCGUUGUCCGGAAUUAUUGGGCGUAAAGAGCUCGUAGGCGGUUUGUCGCGUCUGCUGUGAAAACUCGGGGCUCAACUCCGAGCUUGCAGUGGGUACGGGGCAGACUAGAGUGCGGUAGGGGGAGACUGGAAUUCCUGGUGUAGCGGUGGAAUGCGCAGAGUAUCAGGAGGAACACCCAUAGCGAAAGGGCAGGCUUGCCUGGGACGUUACUGACGCUAAGGGCGCGAAAGCGUGAGGAGCGAACAGG